AGUCAAUAGGUGUGAUAUGAGCGCCAAGACAUAAACUUUAUGUGAUAAAUAAGCUUGGAAAGACUGAAUCUAUGAGUUAGUGGAACAGAUCUGACCUCAGAAGGUCGUUUGGGGUUGUGCAUGGAAUGCACUCGUCGAGUCCAUUGGCAGACUCGACGAGUUGGAGCGAGUUGUUCCGUGUUUUCGAACCAGGGGUUGAGUAACCGAGUUGGGUGAGUGACUCGGUGAGUCGGAAGGGAUUCAGAGGAAUCGGGUCCCCGUAGGGACUCGGCGAGUCCACGCCAGACUCGGCGAGUUGGGUUGACCGUUGACCAUUGACCAGAGUUGACCGGUGUUGACUUGAUAGAGUUAGUCAACCCUAGUUGGGAAAGUGUUAAUUAGAGAUGUAUUUGUGUUAUAGGAGGACUAUAGCUCGGGAGAUCGAGCACUAGUGAUUUCAGGGAUUUACGAGUUACCGAGAUACGCGAGGUGAGUCUUCUCACUAUACGUUACCUUGAGUAGGUAAUUAGAGUUAUGUGAUACCGUGUUGUAUGCUAUAUAUGUGUUAUGUGUUGCACUACAUUCUUCUAUGUGAUUUAUGUUGUGCAUGCUACAGAGAUAGAACCGGAAGGUUCACAGAGAUAGAGCCUGAGGGUUCAUAGAGUUGGGUGCACGGACCCAAAGAGUUAUAGCCUCGAGUGGCUAAUAUGUGUUAUAUAUAUGGUAUUUUGGGGAACUCACUAAGCUUUGUGCUUACAGUGUUUGGUGUUAUUUGUUUCAGGUACUAGUGAGGAUCGCGGGAAGGCGCCGGCCUGAUCAGUACACACACGGGAUUUUUAUGUUAUGAGAUCUUGGGAUUGUUAUAUGCUAUGAAUUUGAGUUUCAAACAAUGAUGUUUUUAUGAAUAAUAAAUGAAUUAUGUUUUUAUAAAAUGCGAAAAAUUGUUUUGAAAUUUACGGUGUUACAAGUUGGUAUCAGAGCCUUGGUUUGAGGGAUUCGAGUACACCUUCGGGCGUAUUUGAACUCAAACUGAGGAUUUGAGAAAUAUUUUCAAAAAGAGUAAAAGAUUUUUGGAAAACGCAGAGCAGAGUCGUGUGUACGAUCAGUCAGCGCCCGAACGGUGAUUUCCCAAGAUACCCUUAUAUUAUAUGUUAUGAUAUUGAUAUGAUGUAUUCUCAUGCUAGAGUGGGCUAGGUACUCCUAUUANAGCGCCCGAACGGUGAUUUCCCAAGAUACCUUUAUGUUAUAUGCUUAUGAUAUUGAUAUGAUGUAUUCUCGUGCUAGAGUGGGCUAGGUACUCCUAUUAGGACUAGAGUGGCCUGAUUUGUGAUACCUUAGCCUAGGGAAAGGUGAGAUGCUAUGAGAUACUUGAGAGUGAGUAGGUAGCAGUGUGGAGCUUAUGAGAGAUCUGUUAGAGAAAGGAUUUUGCAUAAUAGAGUNGGACUUGAUAGAGUUAGUCAACCCUAGUUAGGAAUGUGUUAACUAG
rnacentral:lncRNA from 1 species